GUGCUCACUUUGGCAGCACAUAUACUAAAAUUGGACCCAUACAGAGAUUAGCAUAGCCCCGCUGCGCAAGGUGGACAUGCAAAUUUGUGAAGCAUUUCAUAUUUUA
rnacentral:snRNA from 1 species